GACGUAGGGCGCGAGCGUUGUCCGGAUUUAUUGGGCGUAAAGAGCUCGUAGGCGGCUUGUCGCGUCGACCGUGAAAACUUGGGGCUCAACCCCAAGCCUGCGGUCGAUACGGGCAGGCUCGAGUUCGGUAGGGGAGACUGGAAUUCCUGGUGUAGCGGUGAGAUGCGCAGAUAUCAGGAGGAACACCGAUGGCGAAGGCAGGUCUCUGGGCCGAUACUGACGCUGAGGAGCGAAAGCGUGGGGAGCGAACAGG
rnacentral:rRNA from 1 species